rnacentral:rRNA from 1 species
GACGAACGCUGGCGGCGUGCCUAAUACAUGCAAGUAGAACGCUGAAGGAGGAGCUUGCUUCUCUGGAUGAGUUGCGAACGGGUGAGUAACGCGUAGGUAACCUGCCUGGUAGCGGGGGAUAACUAUUGGAAACGAUAGCUAAUACCGCAUAAGAGUAGAUGUUGCAUGACAUUUGCUUAAAAGGUGCAAUUGCAUCACUACCAGAUGGACCUGCGUUGUAUUAGCUAGUUGGUGGGGUAACGGCUCACCAAGGCGACGAUACAUAGCCGACCUGAGAGGGUGAUCGGCCACACUGGGACUGAGACACGGCCCAGACUACUACGGGAGGCAGCAGUAGGGAAUCUUCGGCAAUGGACGGAAGUCUGACCGAGCAACGCCGCGUGAGUGAAGAAGGGUUUCGGAUCGUAAAGCUCUGUUGUAAGAGAAGAACGAGUGUGAGAGUGGAAAGUUCACACUGUGACGGUAGCUUACCAGAAAGGGACGGCUAACUACGUG